UCAACAUUGGCUUCUUAACCUUUGGUUUCAUUUUUGCUGUGAAGUGGCCUGUACAGAUGUAAGGGAAAAUACAGGGUUAUGAAGAAACCGUAGGAGGAACAAUGGCUCGAAAAGGACACCCGUCCUCCUCUGCUCGACUUGGGAAGGGCAAAACACUGAAAAGCCCCCUCCGUUGGAGAGAGAGCGAGAGAGAGAGAGAGAGAGAGAGAGAGGGAUGGAAUAAGAAUGAGAGCGAGUGAAACCGAGUGAGUCAUGUGUGCAGCUUUAAACAACAAGGGGAAAUCCUCUGGAACACGCAUCACGCAUAGAGUUCCUGACAGCGACAGCUUCAGCUCACCAUCCAAUUUCACAGCAUGGUGAACCUCUGAGAUUCUGCUAAACGUCUGUUUUUGUGUCCUGCAGAAGGAAUAGUCAUAAAGCUCGAGGGACGUUCCUGAGAUGACAGACAUGCACACCUACAGGAGUUCAGGGGUGAAGCCCCCCAUGGUGACGGAAACGGCCCGAGGAAAGGCCUCAUGCUGGAGGGAGAGGGGCCCGGCAGCUCCCUCAACAAUGGAAGUUCUUGGACGAUUCUAGGAAGGUCCUAUGAUUUACGAUUCAUCUUUUUCUUGAAUGCCACUUCACUCCCUGUUCCCUUUGAAACAUGGAGCAGUUUUCAAAAAAGUGUGUUUCUUUGCAUGCACGUGAGACAGUGAUACCCGUGUGACCAAACCGGUCAAGCGGCAUUUUGGCGCCCUCAGAAAAUAUAAGAAAUAUAUUGUGCAGAGCAGCUAACGUGUCAACACAAGCUUUUAUCAUUCCUUUGUCAGUUUAAAAGCUUUUAUGUGGAAUAAUCUUUCCGACACAAUUUGACAUACUUGAAAAAAUCCACAUAAAUACCAUUAAUGUUUAAAGACACCCUAUCAGCUUGCUUUUACGCCUAAUUACCCCGGCGAUUCCCUCACUAUGACUGGACUCUCAUUAUGCUCUGAGGGCAUGAAGAAAAGGAGGUUUAACAUCCACAAAAGAAAGAACCUUCUUAUACCCUGGAAAAUGGAUACACUGUGACCUUUAACAUUUAGGGGAUUAGGCUUCAUUAGUGGGUGACCCUAAAACCUCUGGUCACCGGUAUUCUCAUCUCUCUGGGAUUAGAAAUCUUUGACCAAUAGGUCCAU